rnacentral:rRNA from 1 species
AACCAGCACCUCAAGUGGUCAGGAUGAUUAUUGGGCCUAAAGCAUCCGUAGCCGGUUGCAUAAGUUUUCGGUUAAAUCUAUGCGCUCAACGUAUAGGCCGCCGAAAAUACUGUGCAGCUAGGGAGUGGGAGAGGUACACGGUACUCAAUAGGAAGGGGUAAAUCCUUUGAUCUAUUGAUGACCACCUGUGGCGAAGGCGGUGUACCAGAACACGUUCGACGGUGAGGGAUGAAAGCUGGGGGCGGAACCGAACGUAUAGACC